GUCUACGGCCAUGCCACCCUGAACAAGCCCAAUGUCUGAUCUUGGAAGCUAAGCAGAGUUGGGCCUAGUUAGUACUUGGAUGGGAGACCACCUAGGAAGACCAGGUGCUGUAGGCA
rnacentral:rRNA from 1 species